rnacentral:rRNA from 1 species
CCUACGGGUGGCAGCAGUGAGGAAUAUUGGUCGAUGGACGAGAGUCUGAACCAGCCAAGUAGCGUGAAGGAUGACUGCCCUAUGGGUUGUAAACUUCUUUUAUAUGGGAAUAAAAUGUUCCACGUGUGGGAUUUUGUAUGUACCAUAUGAAUAAGGAUCGGCUAACUCCGUGCCAGCAGCCGCGGUAAUACGGAGGAUCCGAGCGUUAUCCGGAUUUAUUGGGUUUAAAGGGAGCGUAGGUGGAUUGUUAAGUCAGUUGUGAAAGUUUGCGGCUCAACCGUAAAAUUGCAGUUGAAACUGGCAGUCUUGAGUACAGUAGAGGUGGGCGGAAUUCGAGGUGUAGCGGUGAAAUGCUUAGAUAUCACGAAGAACUCCGAUUGCGAAGGCAGUUCACUGGACUGCAACUGACACUGAGGCUCGAAAGUGUGGGUAUCAAACAGGAUUAGAUACCCCAGUAGUC